rnacentral:rRNA from 1 species
GACGAACGCUGGCGGCGUGCUUAACACAUGCAAGUCGAACGGAGAUUAAGGAAUUAGUUUACUAAUACUUUAAUCUUAGUGGCGGACGGGUGAGUAACGCGUGGGCAACCUGCCCCUGAGCCCGGGAUAACAGUUCGAAAGGACUGCUAAGACCGGAUAUACUUGCGGUGAAGCAUUUCACUGCAAGGAAAGGGAACGCUCAGGGAUGGGCCCGCGUCCCAUUAGCUAGUUGGUGAGGUAACGGCCCACCAAGGCGACGAUGGGUAGCCGGCCUGAGAGGGUGAACGGCCACACUGGGACUGAGACACGGCCCAGACUCCUACGGGAGGCAGCAGUUGGGAAUCUUCGGCAAUGGGCGCAAGCCUGACCGAGCAACGCCGCGUGAGUGAUGAAGGUUUUCGGAUUGUAAAGCUCUGUCUUCCGGGACGAUAAUGACGGUACCGGAGGAGGAAGCCACGGCUAACUACGUG